rnacentral:rRNA from 2 species
CUAGUAACUAGCGAGUGAAGCGGGAAAAGCUCAAAUUUAAAAUCUGGCAACGUUUAAGUUGUUCGAAUUGUAGCCUAGAGAAGUGUUACCGGCACUGGACCGUGUAUAAGUCUCCUGGGAUGGAGCGUCAGAGAGGGUGAGAAUCCCGUUUUUGACAUGGAUAACCAAGUGCAUUGUGGUACGCUCUCAAAGAGUUGAGUUGUUUGGGAAUGCAGCUCUAAAUGGGUGGUAAAUUCCAUCUAAAGCUAAAUAUUGGCGAGAGACCGAUAGCGAACAAGUACCGUGAGGGAAAGAUGAAAAGAACUUUGGAAAGAGAGUUAAACAGUAUGUGAAAUUGUUGAAAGGGAAACGUUUGAAGUCAGUCGCGUUGGUCAGGGAUCAAGCCGGCUGUUUUGCUGGGUGUACUUCCUGGUCAAUGGGUCAACAUGAGUUUUGACUAGUGGAGAAAGGCUCUGGGAAAGUGGCACCUUCGGGUGUGUUAUAGCCCUUGGUCAUAUACAGUAGUUGGGACUGAGGAUAGCAGCGCGCCGCAAGGCCGGGUUUCGACCACGUUUCGCGCUUAGGAUGUUGACAAAAUGGCUUUAAGCGACCCGUCUUGAAACACGGACCAAGGAGUCUAACAUGCGUGCGAGUGUUUGGGUGUAAAACUCAAGCGCGUAAUGAAAGUGAAAGUUGAGAACCCCUGUUAAUAGGGGGGGCACCGACGCCCAGACCGAAACUUUUGGGACGGAUCUGCGGUAGAGCAUGUAUGUU